rnacentral:rRNA from 1 species
UACGAAGGGGGCUAGCGUUGCUCGGAAUCACUGGGCGUAAAGGGCUCGUAGGCGGCCAACUAAGUCGGACGUGAAAUCCCCAGGCUCAACCUGGGAACUGCGUCCGAUACUGGAUGGCUUGAAUCCGGGAGAGGGAUGCAGAAUUCCAGGUGUAGCGGUGAAAUGCGUAGAUAUCUGGAGGAAUACCGGUGGCGAAGGCGGCAUCCUGGACCGGCAUUGACGCUGAGGAGCGAAAGCCAGGGGAGCAAACGGG